UCCACAGGCAGUGGCCAGAAACCACAAACCUGACCAGAGGCACAAAUGCCCUCUGACCCAAGCCCUGGAGCUGGGUAGAGGGCAAGGAGAGGAACCUCUGAGUGCUGCUGGCCACGCUGCCCAAGCUGCCCAUGCUACAGUGGAACUGGGCAGGCAGCCCCUGGGUGCUGUGACUACAUGAGAGGUGGGGAAGAAGCAGUGGUGCUGCAUCCUGCUGGUUAUGAGCUGGACAUGGCCACGGGGCAGCUGAAGGAGCCACUGGUCAGAGAGCUCUGCAAUACCUGGUGAGAGUUCCAGAACCAGAGCACCUGGCCCCUCUUCCAGGCUGAUAAUGGUGGUGAGUGCACCAGGCUCUGGAGGCUGAGGGCUGCCAGUCUGAGUGUGGCAAUGCCAGCAGCAGGGCUUUUGAGUGUCCUUCCCUCCAUCAGCCAAGGACUCAAGGAGAAAGCAUUCACACUCGUGCGUGUUGUCCUAUUUUCCUUUUCCCUGCCCCAAGCAGAGGUGCGGGUUGCUCUCUUCACUUCUCAAGCUAGGGAUCACCCCCUUCUGGGGGCCCCUCACCACCCAGGGUGUAAUGUGCCUCAUGACCAUCAACAUAUCACUGAAUGGUUUUCUUAUGGAAAAGCUGCAGGAGCCCAAGGAGAAGCAGACAGGCUUUCUUUUAAGGAUUUCAAAAGCCUAAACUGCAGACAUACUGAGCCAGGCUGUAUUAUGCUUCCAAGCUUUGACUAACACAGGGCCCUGUGACUAGAUGUGCCUUUUCUCUUUGAUCACCUAGCUUUAUGAAUAAGGUAGAGUAUACUUUAUUACAUAAUUUUAUUCCUCAUUUAAUCAUCUGUCACUUCAGUAUUACAAAUAAUUUAUCUUUGAUCCUUAUUAUAACUUGUAUAUUCCUCAUACUGCUUAUAGCACUGACAUUUGUUUGCAUAUGCAUUUCUCUGAAUUUCUCCUUAACUUUAUUCCAUUAUUGUCCUCUACUGAAAACUUGAUUGUAUAAUUUCACCCCUAAUUGUUCCCUUUCCUUCACUAAAUUUUAAUACUACCAAUAUGUUCUAGAUCUCUUUAUAUAUUGCAUGCAUAUCUAUGUUAAUACAUAAAAACAGUAAGAUUUUUCAAUCCUGAGACAAAUCAAUUUUGCCCACUUUGGGCAGUACCAUCUCUGUCAAGAAUGUAUGUUCAUAGUCAGCAUUUUAUAGGCAUAUGUUCAAAUAAUAAUACAAUCUUGACUUUUAGAAAUUUAACACAAAAGCUCUGCAUGAGGCCAACAUUAAAAAUAAGUACACUUUUCCAAUUUAUAUUUCAACCUAUUCCUUGGUUUGACUUUUCCCUUUCAUCUAUGUAAGACACUUAUCCUAAUUCAAAUUAUUUCUAUUAAGAAUGGCAGGUGGACAGACUCAAAUGGUUAAGACAAAAAGGUUAAUAUUGACUGAUGAAACAGAUUGGGAAAAAUCUUGACUUCAGACAUAGUUUAAUUCAGAGUCUUAAAAAGCAUCACCACAAUUCAGUUCUUUCAUUCUUUUGGGUCUGCCAUGUUCUCUAACUUUGCCUUACCCCCAAAUUUGUAUUCUGUAGCCCAUGGGUCACAAUUUUGUAAAUUUCUCUUCAGAGUGUAUUUAUUGAAGUCAGAAACCUCCUGCUACAGUGUUAGGAAGGGAAUGCCAAGAAAGGAAGGCCUGAGAAACUUCUCAAAGUGGAUUCUUUUAAGUACAAUUCAAGGGAGGAGCAGAACACAGCUUUGUAAUCUUGAUAUCAAAAAAGAACAAAGCAAGAAAAAUAUAUUAGAUAUGCUGCAGAAUGGUAUUAGAAUAAAAAGAAAUAAAUAGGCCA
ensembl:lncRNA